UACGUAGGGUGCAAGCGUUAUCCGGAAUUAUUGGGCGUAAAGAGCUCGUAGGCGGUUUGUCGCGUCUGCUGUGAAAACCCGAGGCUCAACCUCGGGCCUGCAGUGGGUACGGGCAGACUAGAGUGCGGUAGGGGAGAUUGGAAUUCCUGGUGUAGCGGUGGAAUGCGCAGAUAUCAGGAGGAACACCGGUGGCGAAGGCGGAUCUCUGGGCCGUAACUGACGCUGAGGAGCGAAAGCAUGGGGAGCGAACAGG
rnacentral:rRNA from 1 species